GACGAAGGAUGCAAGCGUUAUCCGGAUUCAUUGGGUUUAAAGGGAGCGUAGGCGGAUUUGUAAGUCAGUGGUGAAAUCUCCGGGCUCAACCCGGAAACUGCCAUUGAUACUGCAGGUCUAGAGUACAGUUGCCGUUGGCGGAAUAUGACAUGUAGUGGUGAAAUACUUAGAUAUGUCAUAGAACACCGAUUGCGAAGGCAGCUAACGAAGCUGUGACUGACGCUGAGGCUCGAAAGUGCGGGGAUCAAACAGG
rnacentral:rRNA from 1 species